UACGGAGGGACUAGCGUUGUUCGGAAUUACUGGCGUAAAGCGCACGUAGGCGGAUUGUAAGUCAGGGGUGAAAUCCCGGGGCUCAACCUCGGAACUGCCUUUGAUACUGCAAAUCUCGAGUCCGGAAGAGGUGAGUGGAAUUCCGUAGUGUAGAGGUGAAAUUCGUAGAUAUUAGGAAGAACACCAGUGGCGAAGGCGGCUCACUGGUCCGGUACUGACGCUGAGGUGCGAAAGCGUGGGGAGCAAACAGGG
rnacentral:rRNA from 1 species